GACGAACGCUGGCGGCGUGCUUAACACAUGCAAGUCGAACGGAAAGGCCCUGCUUUCGUGGCGUACUCGAGUGGCAAACGGGUGAGUAACACGGGAGUAUCCUCCCCUUGGCUUUGGGAUAACUUCAGGAAACUGGGGCUACUACCGGAUAUGAGAUCCUGCUACAUGGUGAGCGUCGGAAAGUUUCGGCGGUUGGGGAUGGACUCGCGGCUUAUGAGCUUGUUGGGGGGGUACUGGCUUACCAAAGGUUCGGUGGGUAGCCGGCAUGGGAGGGUGACCGGCCACCAGGGGACUGAGAGACGGACCAGUCGCCUACGGGAGGCAGCAGUGGCGAGUAUUACACAAUAGGCGGACGCCUGAUGCAGCGACGCUGCGUGCGGGAUGACGGUCUUCGGGGUGUAAACCGCGUUCGCCUGUGACGAAGCGUGAGUGACGGUAAUGGGUAAAGAAGCACCGGCUAACUACGUG
rnacentral:rRNA from 1 species